GGGGUUACGGUGGAUACCUAGGCACCCAAAGAUGAGGAAGGGCGUGGUAAGCGACGAAAUGCUUCGGGGAGUUGAAAAUGAGCAUAGAUCCAGAGAUUCCCGAAUAGGUUAACCUUUUUAAUUGUUUCUUAAUCCAUGGGUAGGAAAGAGACAACCUAGAGAAAUAAAACAUCUUGGUAGCCAGAGGAAUAGAAAGAAAAAGCGAUUCCCGUAGUAGCAGCGGGCAAAAUGGGAGUAGCCUAAACCGUGAAAAUGGGGUUGUGGGAGAGCAUAAUUUAAGCUUUGUGAUACUAGGAAAAGUGGUUGAGUCCUGCACCCUAGAUGGUGAGAGUCCAGUAGCCAAAAGAAUCAUUGGGUUAUGCUCUAACCUGAGUAGCAUGGGGCACAUGGAAUCCUGUGUGAAUCAGCAAGGAACACCUUGCAAGGCUAAAUACUCUUGGGUGACCGAUAGCAAAGUAUUACCGUGAGGGAAAGGUGAAAAGAACCCCCAUCGGGGAGUGAAAUAGAACAUGAAAAUGUAAUCUC
rnacentral:ncRNA from 1 species